GACGAACGCUGGCGGCGUGCUUAACACAUGCAAGUCGAACGGAAAGGCCCUGCUUUUGUGGGGUGCUCGAGUGGCAAACGGGUGAGUAACACGUGAGUAACCUGCCCUUGACUUUGGGAUAACUUCAGGAAACUGGGGCUAAUACCGGAUAGGAGCUCCUGCUGCAUGGUGGGGGUUGGAAAGUUUCGGCGGUUGGGGAUGGACUCGCGGCUUAUCAGCUUGUUGGUGGGGUAGUGGCUUACCAAGGCUUUGACGGGUAGCCGGCCUGAGAGGGUGACCGGCCACAUUGGGACUGAGAUACGGCCCAGACUCCUACGGGAGGCAGCAGUGGGGAAUAUUGCACAAUGGGCGGAAGCCUGAUGCAGCAACGCCGCGUGCGGGAUGACGGCCUUCGGGUUGCAAACCGCUUUCGCCUGUGACGAAGCGUGAGUGACGGUAAUGGGUAAAGAAGCACCGGCUAACUACGUG
rnacentral:rRNA from 1 species